CCCGAGUUUUACUACUUGUGCGAUCUCCUGUACUUGGGAGAGCAGUUUUAUAAACACAUCAAGUUUUUGGCGCCGUUGCUGGCGAAUGGCUGAAUUAUUAGUAUAUUUUCAGAUUUAAUUAGAGAUUUAGUUUAGGUAAAAAAUUAUUUCAUCUGACGUACUCUCCCCUAGAUCCGGGAAUAGCGAUAUGAACUAAAUGUCCUGCCCAAGCCAAGGAACUUAUUCCGAAAAGUCUUGACAAAUGAUGAUUGAGACGAAAUUCGGCAUUUUUGAAGCAUGAAAUACUUGGUUUCCAUUUGGGUUGUAGAUGUAACCAACCCGCUAUUAAGGAUAUAGCAGAAAGAAAUAAUAGAAAAACAUAUAGAU